UCCCUGGUGGUCUAGCGGCUAAGGAUCCUGAACUCUCACUGCUGCAGCCUGGGUCCGAUUCCCGGGCAGGGAA